rnacentral:lncRNA from 10 species
UGCCAAGCAUGGGAGAUAGGAGAAUGAACAAGAUGGGCAAGAUCCCUGCUCUUACCCAGCUCUUCUGCUAGUGGGAGAGAGACCAUGAAACAAGAUUGUCAAAGUUGAAGGGUUUGGGCCCCUACCUAGUUCAGGGGGCUUCAGGGAAGGCUUCCAGAGGAAAUGCUAUCUAGGGUGAAUAAUGAGUAUGCACUAGCCAGGUGAAAUGAGGGGUGAGAGAAGAGUGCCCGGAGAAAAAGGAAGAACAGACAGUUCUAGAGGUGAGAGAAUGGGGCUUGUGCAAGAGUGAGGGUAGGCUGGGUGCGGAGGCUCACGCCUGUAAUCCCAGCACUUUGGGAGGCCAAGGCAGGUGGGUUAUCUGAGGUCAGUAGUUUGAGACCAGCCUGACCAACAUGGUGAAACCCUGUCUCUAUUAAAAAUACAAAAAAAUUAGCCGGGCAUGGUGGCGGGAGCCUGUAAUCCCAGCUACUCGGGAGGCUGAGGCAGAAGAAUUGCUUGAACCUGGGAGGCAGAGGUUGCAGUGAGCCAAGAUUAUGCCACUGCAUUCCAACCUGGGUGGCAGAGCAAGACUGUCUCAAAAAAAAAAAAUGUAAAGAGGGAUUCAGUGUGGCUGCAGCAUGGGUGCAGGGUGAGGUGAGGAAACUUUGUAAGAUUUCCACUUUCCUUGCUCUCCUGGAGAAUGUGUGGGGGCGUCCUGAGUAGUCUUGGUGGCAAUUGUCCAGUGCAGUCAUCCUGAGCACACUAAGUCCUAUUCACAGCAAACUAAGAUGUACUUCUCAGCCCACUGCACUCACAGGUCAAGUAACAAGACAGAGCAAAACAUUCAGUACUGCUCUAAACAGCCAUUGUUUGUCAUUCUAUGUGCUCCAUCUGUAAAGGCCUCCUGCAACUGGGGCAGCAAAGAGGCGGCUCCCUUGUGCAGACGUUCCCCAGCCGCCCCAGCAGCCCAAAGAUGUCAGGCAAUAUAACAAUGUCAGGCAAUACGGCCUAUAUGAGGGGGGUGUGACACUGCUGAUGUCAGAAGUCACAGGAAGUAAUUAUUGCAAACUCUUAGAGCAUACUUACUGCUAAGAAGCCUUUGUAUGGAUGUCCUGAGCCCUGCACCCAUGAAUUGACGUAACUGUAACGACAAGGGACGGCUUUUUGUCAUUUAACGAAAGGAAUGGGGGAUAGCAGAGAUAUAUCGGCUGCAGUGACCUUUCACGAUAGGGUCUGGAGGGAUGGCGUGAGGGCCCAGGCAUAGUGCUGGUGAGUGGUUUGCUGUUCUUAAAGAAUCCAGUGGGCUGGGAGUGGUGGUUCACGCCUGUAAUCCCAGCACUUUGGGAGGCCAAGGCGGGCGGAUCAUGAGGUCAGGGAUUUGAGACCAGCCUGGCCAACAUGGUGAAACCCUGUCUCUAUUAAAAAUACAUAAAUUAGCCGGGUGUGGUGGCACGCACCUGUAGUCCCAGCUACUUGGGAGGCUGACACAGGAGAAUCGCUUGAACCCAG